ACUCGCUCACCCCCGUAUUUCAGCUUCCUUCCUUCCUUCCGUGGUGGUGGUGUGUUUCGCGCGGUAGUUUUUCUUCUCAUUUGCCCGGACAUUACCUACCAAACACAUUCCCGCGGGUGACCUUCCGCCCCGCCGCGCCGUCCUCCUCCCCGCCUCACUGGACAUCCAUCAAAAGGUGGGUGGCGUCGCGAGGUGAAUCCGCCGCGCUGAGGCCAGACGGAAAGGGUGACGGAUGAGCCUAGCGCGGGCUGCCUCACGACCAUUGCAGCCUCCAGACGACUCGCUGACUCACGGGGCUGCCUCCGCGCCCGUGUGUCUGGCUGGCCUAGGGCAGGAGGGGGAUGUACUGGCGCGAGUGGGUAGCCGUGAAGUCGUUGUGUGGAAAGCCUGAUAGACUGUGAAGAUGAAACAGUCAAUCCGUUACAAUUCUCGGACGAUUUUUAUUAUCGCACCACCGCGGACCGGCCAGUUAUAUUCGCCCCGAUGGUUGCGUGGUCAGUCUGCGGGCGCGGUGUCCUGAAGCAAACUGACAAUCACCCUCACCAACGAGUGGCCGAAGACUACCCUACAUGUCCUAAUGACCGCCCAUCAACCCUUACUCUGGCGAAGCUCUCUGGAGACGAUCAAAGAUGAGUUCCGGGGGGCAGCAUAAGCCAGGCAAAAGGGCGCCACUAUAAACACUUACCUGCGCCACUAAUGGGCUGGGACCGACAAGCAGACCUGAUCAAGAAAGCAUACCGAUGAUUUAUAUAUAUACACAGGCCGAACGUAAUAAAAAGACUCCCCUGUGUG